UUCAACGUUACAAAAUCCCCCACUCACGGAGUUAGGAUUUCAGAAGCAAAUCCCACAAACUUCAAGCAAACGUGUUUCAUUUUUCAAAGGUAUUAUUAAUUAACAAAUAUAUGAAAUAAUAGCAAUGGCAUUGAAACAGCUUCGCUUCCGCUCCGUACAUUGAAUAAUGUCUCAUAUACUCUCUCAGAACAAAGGCAACCCACUUUCUUCAUCCUUUGCAUUCUAACAAAACAUAUCGGAUCUACGGAAUCGUAUUCCAUCCCGUCGCAUUCCUUAUUGGAGAGAGACAACAGCUGCAGGGAUGAGACUGAAAAAAAAGAGGACAAGACAGAGAGAAGUUAGGAAACUAAAAGGAACAAAAUAGAAUAUAUUCCCAGUCCACAAACGAGCAGGAACUGUUUUAUUUGUAGAAUAGGAGGAUCGGCUUACACAUUAAAUACAGGUCAAUACAGAAGUUGCACGACGCUAAGGCAAGACUCCUACACGAUAGGACAGCGCCAAAGGAAAUCCUGCAUUGAUACACGAUAGGAGUGUGUAAAUGUAAAAGAGAAGAAAAAUGUGGACAAAAAGAGUCAUAACAAUGUAGACAUGGUUCUGAAAUAGCAAGGUGACAAAACGGAUGGGUAUGAAGUGUGAGCUAGACAAAAAGGGAAAGCUGAAAAGAUGUGACGGAAGAAUGAGGUAUAAGAAGGUAAAAAAAAAAAAACGUCAUGACAAAUAAAUGAAUUAAAAACAAAACAAUAAAUAAGGCUGCGUUGAGCGUGAUUAAAUCAUUAUAUCCCCAUAUGACAACCUAGAAGCCAAUAAAAAAGAAAAGAAAAGGAAAUUGAAAAAUCCUUGACAUGAGGGCUGUGAUGGGUCAACCCCAUACAAUCUAAGAUAGGAGACGAAAAUAAUCAUCUUCUAUUUUCUAUCGGCAA
rnacentral:sRNA from 2 species